GGGGGGGGGGGGGGGGGGGGGGGGGGGGGGGGGGGCGGGGGGCGGCGGGGGCGGCGGCGGGGCGGGGAGGGGCGAACGGGCGGGUAGUGCAUCGGAACGUGCCCAGUAGUGGGGGAGAGGGCGGCGAACGCCGGAUCACUACCGCAUACGACCUGAGGGUGAAAGGGGGGGAUCUUCGGACCUCGCGCUAUUGGAGCGGCCGAUGGCUGAGUCGCUAGGUGGUGGGCUAAAGGGCUAACACGGCGACGACCUGUAGCUGGCCUGAGAGGACGACCAGGCACACAGGGACUGAGACACGGCCGAGGCUCCUAUGGGAGGCAGCAGUGGGGAAUGUUGGACAAUGGGCGAAAGCCUAAUCCAGCAAUGCCGCGUGUGUGAUGAAGGCUUUGGGGUUGUAAAGCACUUUGGGCGGGAGCGAAAAGGACUGUGCCAAUACCACGGUUCGAUGACGGUACCCGCAGAGUAAGCACCGGCUAACUACGUG
rnacentral:rRNA from 1 species